CCGGAAGUAAACCAUUAAGGGCGACACGUGCCAGCCACCACACACGUGUCAUUGGGUAAGUUGUUAAGAGUCUCAAGCUAGAUUAGCGGCAGGAGCUUCAAACACUAAAUCUUCUCGAUGAAAUUCUAGUGCCUGCCCAGUUAAGUUACCACAUGUAUCUUGAUUUACGUAUUUCAUAAUAUCCAAAAUAAUAUCUUGAAUUUUGACGGGAAAAAUAAACACAUGCUUCUUUUAUUAUUAAGAAAUUGUGAAAAAUGAAUCAAACCAUUUCCGG
rnacentral:lncRNA from 1 species